rnacentral:rRNA from 1 species
UGCAGUCGAACGAUGAAGCCCAGCUUGCUGGGUGGAUUAGUGGCGAACGGGUGAGUAACACGUGAGUAACCUGCCCUCGACUCUGGGAUAAGCCCGGGAAACUGGGUCUAAUACUGGAUAUUCAAUUUCUACCGCAUGGUGGUUUUUGGAAAGGAUUCUGGUCGAGGAGGGACUCGCGGCCUAUCAGCUUGUUGGUGAGGUAAUGGCUCACCAAGGCGACGACGGGUAGCCGGCCUGAGAGGGUGACCGGCCACACUGGGACUGAGACACGGCCCAGACUCCUACGGGAGGCAGCAGUGGGGAAUAUUGCACAAUGGGCGAAAGCCUGAUGCAGCGACGCCGCGUGAGGGAUGACGGCCUUCGGGUUGUAAACCUCUUUCAGUAGGGAAGAAGCGAAAGUGACGGUACCUGCAGAAGAAGCGCCGGCUAACUACGUGCCAGCAGCCGCGGUAAUACGUAGGGCGCAAGCGUUAUCCGGAAUUAUUGGGCGUAAAGAGCUCGUAGGCGGUUUGUCGCGUCUGCCGUGAAAGUCCGGGGCUUAACUCCGGAUCUGCGGUGGGUACGGGCAGACUAGAGUGCUGUAGGGGAGACUGGAAUUCCUGGUGUAGCGGUGAAAUGCGCAGAUAUCAGGAGGAACACCGAUGGCGAAGGCAGGUCUCUGGGCAGUAACUGACGCUGAGGAGCGAAAGCAUGGGGAGCGAACAGGAUUAGAUACCCUGGUAGUCCAUGCCGUAAACGUUGGGCACUAGAUGUGGG